UCCUAUCCAUGAUCAGACUUAGACUUUGAUACAUGCCAGUUUCACUAAUCCACUGCUGUGCUGGGCCUGGUUGUAACUCUUCCUAGAAAUGAUUGGAUAUUGUAGAUAUUAAUUUAGAGGUUUUAAAUCAAAGGUAUCUCAACUAACAUGCACUGUCACCUCCUAGGAACCUGGAAUAGAACUGAAAUUUCUGCCACUCUUCAUGUGCUGAAGCUUGCCUCCUCUUUGACCUUUGAGUCCCCUAAAAAUCCAUUUGAGCUGUCAAUGCCAAAGAAAGCCAAAGUUCAGCGAAAGUAUCCCUUAGACGACAGUGACUAGCAAAGGAAAAAAGUGACAUUUGAAAUGAACCCCUGAGGAGUUAUUAGUAAUUGCUCUUCUGAGAAGGUAACACCUACACUAUGUGACAGAACAAGUUCAUCUUGGAUUCAGCAUGUUAAAAUAUUCUUAUUCCUGGAUGAGGAAACUGAGAUCACUGAGAAGAUAAAGCACUUGUUCUGGCUCACACAGUGACAGGUGGAGCUAGACUAUCUGUGAGCACAGACAGGCCAGCCGGCAAAAGAUGCGACUGGAGGAGAGCGAAGCCAGGGUUAUUUCUUCUUUUACUUGUGAAUGACAUUGUGCUUACCUUUGUGCAUGUGUGUCUGUGUGUGAUAACUCACUUUUAUCUUUGUUUUAUGUUUCCUUAUUCCUACAAAGUCCAUGUAUUCCUUACAAACCCAGGAUUGCCAGAGGCUGAGAGCCUAGAUUGUCAAAUUGCCUUCAGAACACAGAUUUAUCAAUCAUAGUCCUGAUCCCACUUUUCUCAAACCUGUUUUAACAUGAACCACAGAAGGUGGCAGGUAUUUAUGCUUGGUGUAUCAUGAUGGCUGUCGAUUGUCUAAUACUUUUUUUUUUUAAGACCUUCUCUAACAGAUUACAGUGUCCUUGAAUAACUGAAGUGGAACUGAUAUAUGUACGGUAUUUUAAAGUGUAUAAUUUGAUAAGUUUUGACAUUCAUAUAUAUCUGUGAAACAAUUACCACAAUCAAGGUAGAACAUGACCAUAAUUCUAAGGGUUUCUUAGGGCUCCUUUGUCGCCUACCGUUUCUUAUUACCACAUCCUCAAGCAACCACUGUUGCUUUUCUGUCUCUAGAAGUGGAUUUGCAUAUUUAUGUAAUUCAACCCAUAUAGUGUGCAUUGUGUUUUAACAUCCUUCUUUUGCUCAGCAUAAUUACAUGGGGAUACAUCUAUGUUGUUGCAUAUCCAUUCCUUUUUGUUGCUAAGUAACAUUCCAUUUUAUGGCUUUAU